UACGUAGGGGGCAAGCGUUGUCCGGAAUUAUUGGGCGUAAAGAGCGUGUAGGCGGCCCGGUAAGUCCGCUGUGAAAGUCCAGGGCUCAACCCUGGAAUGCCGGUGGAAACUGUCGGGCUAGAGUCCGGAAGAGGCGAGUGGAAUUCCUGGUGUAGCGGUGAAAUGCGCAGAUAUCAGGGGGAACACCAAUGGCGAAGGCAGCUCGCUGGGACGGUACUGACGCUGAGACGCGAAAGCGUGGGGAGCAAACAGG
rnacentral:rRNA from 1 species